CCUACGGGAGGCAGCAGUAGGGAAUUUUCCACAAUGGGCGAAAGCCUGAUGGAGCAAUGCCGCGUGCGGGAUGAAGGUCUUAGGAUCGUAAACCGCUUUUAUAUGUGAAGAUUAUGACGGUAGCAUAUGAAUAAGGAUCGGCUAACUACGUGCCAGCAGCCGCGGUGAUACGUAGGAUCCAAGCGUUAUCCGGAUUUAUUGGGCGUAAAGAGUUGCGUAGGCGGCUAAGUAAGCAAAUAGUGAAAGAACACGGCUUAACCGUGUGGACAUUAUUUGAACUGCUUUGGCUAGAGAGCGGAAGAGGUAGCUGGAAUUAUUAGUGGAGGAGUAAUAUCCGUAGAUAUUAGUAAGAACACCAAUGGCGAAGGCAGGCUACUGGUCCGUUUCUGACGCUCAGGCACGAAAGCGUAGGUAGCAAACAGGAUUAGAUACCCUGGUAGUCUACGCCGUAAACGAUGGAUACUAGCAUUCGGAGGUGUCGACCCCUUCGGUAGCGAAGCUAACGCGUUAAGUAUCCCGCCUGUGUAGUACGAGCGCAAGCUUAAAACAUAAAAGAUAAUGACGNGNGAGAGCGACGACGACGACGACGAGGAGAG
rnacentral:rRNA from 1 species